rnacentral:rRNA from 1 species
GACGGAGGGUGCAAGCGUUAUCCGGAUUCAUUGGGUUUAAAGGGUAUGUAGGCGGUUUAGUAAGUCAGUGGUGAAAUCUAGCAGCUCAACUGUUAGCGUGCCAUUGAUACUGCUAAGCUUGAGUAUAGUCGAGGUGGGCGGAAUUCUACAUGUAGCGGUGAAAUGCAUAGAUAUGUAGAGGAACACCGAUAACGAAGGUAGCUCACUAGGCUAUUACUGACGCUGAGGUACGAAAGCGUGGGGAGCAAACAGG